CGCACCGACGAUGAAGUACAAAUGCGCACUCUUUUGAAGACCCUUCGGCGAUUGUGUUAGUGAAGCCUUUGUAAUAAUCCUCAAGAUUGAAACAAGAACACCUGCCACCAUGAAUUUUCUCAAUCAGUUGAAUGGAGAAAGUACUUCUUUUAUUGCCCUUUCAGCCAUCUUAAGGCACAUGCUUUCUAGGAUGCUAGAUCAUGUCUGGCACUUUAUAUUUGUGUCAAAGUUUUCGUGAUAAAAUUUGAAAGGUAAGAGGAGAAGGUUUGGACAUAUAUAGUACCUGAAGAAGCAGUCCCGGCAAACACAGCCUGCAUAAAUUGUUUUGGAAGCCUACCAGCUGAUCCUAUCAAACUUCCUGCUACCAAGCCAUCAGCCAAACCGCAGGUGACAACGGAUGCAACGAUCACGCCAUAAGCUUCGUUCGGCCGCCAGUUCGAACCAGUGAUGUUUGAAGCCCAGUCCAUGACAGGAGAGACCAGAACAGACAGGAUGAACAAAGAAAACCCCAAGUUCAUUCUAAAUCUAAAGCUCAUCUUCUUAGACCAUCCAUCCCAAGCAACCAUAAGAACCAGAAGGAGCACAGAGGAAGUCAUGUAAGCGACGGAGAAAACCUUUUCGACGUGUUUGGUGGGAUAGAGGUAGCCAAAGUAAUCAACAGCAGUGAUGGAAGCAUUCCAUGGGAGCAAAUUACCAACACCAAGCAAGAAAUGGAUUAGCCUUUUCAGCUUCCAUUUUCAUGUUCAAGCGUUCUUCUGAGUUCUGGUGUUGGGAAUUUAUGCAUUGUCAAAACAGUAGCUCGGCAUCCAGAAAUGAUGUGUUGAUGAGAUGGGCAUAUCCCUUUGAGAAAGAGUUGAAAUUAUUCAAAGCUUAAGAUGUGAUUGAUGGGUUCAACUUGGAACCAAUAUGACUCACGAAAGUAACCAAAAAACUUGUGCUUCAUGGAUGGGCAAUAUUAUUAGGCUUGCUGCUCCUUUAUUCUACUGCUACUGCUACACAUGGAGGGGCUGCAUUCCUCAUCAACCCCAUCUCUAAACUUCAAUUCCAUUCCAUAAUUUCUGGGUUUAAGCUUUAAAGUUUUAAGGGUUCAUUAAGUAAUCAUUCUCUGAGCUUUUGCAGCCUACAGGCAGAGCUAAAACUGGUUAGAGUAAACAGAGCUGACGUGAACCGGAGGGUCCUAUCAGCGUGGCCAAGAUGACACAUACAGAUGAUAAGCCAUCCGCAUGGGGAACUUGAUUCUUCUUUUUCCCAGUCAGGGAAUUUUCAUAUUGGAGAAGGUUAAUUGCCCCCAUCCAUCCUUUUCUUUUUCUUCUUCUUCCUGUCAUUUCGUACUAUCUUCACUUGGUUUUUAUAUUCCCCUCUUUUGUUUUUUUACCUUGAUUAAUCUGAACAAGACUUUAUUCAUGGAGGUGAGUUGUUUGCAUUUGUA